GGGGGUAUCGUAUAAUAGGUAAUACAGUAAUAUUGCAUAUUAUUUAUUUGGGUUCGAGUCCCCAUAUUUCCA
rnacentral:tRNA from 1 species